UGGCUCAGAAGCUCCCCGACUGAGCACCUUGUGACCCCCGCCCCUGCCCACCAGAGAACAACCCCCUUUGACUGUAAUUUUCCAUUACCUUCCCAAAUCCUAUAAAACGGCCCCACCCCUAUCUCCCUUCGCUGACUCUCUUUUCGGACUCAGCCCGCCUGCACCCAGGUGAAAUAGACAGCCAUGUUGCUCACACAAAGCCUGUUUGCUGGUCUCUUCACACUGACUCGAGUGAAAUUUGGUGCCGUGACUAGGAUCGGGGGACCUCCCUUGGGAGAUCAAUCCCCCGUCCUCCUACACUUUGCUCUGUGAGAAAGAUCCACCUACAACCUCAGGUCCUCAGACCAACCAGCCCAAGAAACAUCUCACCAAUUUCAAAUCCGGAGCUUGCUACAAGUGCCAGAAAUCUGACCACCAGGCCAAGGACUGCCGGCAGCCCAGGAUUCCUCCUAAGCCACGUCCCAUCUGUGUGGGACCCCACUGCAAAUCGGACUGUUCAACUCACCUGGCAGCCACUCCCAGAGCCCCUGGAACUCUGGCCCAAGGCUCUCUGACUGACUCCUUCCCAGAUCUUCUCGGCUUAGCGGCUGAAGACUGACACUGCCCGAUUGCCUCGGAAGCCCCCUAGACCAUCAUGGACGCCGAGCUUCAGUGAUAGAUCACAACAAGAGAUCAUGAAGAGGGCAUGGCCGCCAUGUCAUUCUGGAGAGAGACAGAGUAAAACAAAGAAGGCAAUAACCAGACACGGGACUGAGGCCAUCCAUGACCAGCCAGCCCUAGCCAACACACAACACACAAGCUGAUCACAGAUGCAUGAGUAAGCCUGAGACCAGCCAAGACCAGCCUAGAAUAGAACUGCUCAGCAGCAAUAAAAACUAAAUAAAUUGUUACCUUAAGCUACUUUUAGAGCUAUUUGGAAGUGUAUUUUUGUGCAGCUAACAUUUACUAGCAGAUAAAAUGGUGAUUGUUUAUCUCUGUUUUAUUGAUGUUUUAAGGAAAUUGUUUCUAUUAAAAGGAAAUAUCUGGUCUUUGUCACGUUAAA
rnacentral:lncRNA from 1 species